GCCUCCUUAGCUCAGCGGUAGAGCGCGACACUAGUAAUCAUCAAUCAGAUUUGAGAUCUGUUGUGAUACAAUGUCGAGGUCAGUCGUUCGAUCCGGCUAGGAGGCA